AACGAACGCUGGCGGCGCGCCUAAUACAUGCAAGUCGAGCGAGAAGGUGUAGCAAUACACUUGUAAAGCGGCGAACGGGUGAGGAAUGCAUGGGUAACCUACCCUCGAGUGGGGAAUAACUAGCCGAAAGGUUAGCUAAUACCGCAUACGUUUCCGGAACUUCGGUUUCGGAAAGAAAGCAAUACCGUGGGUAUUGCGCUCCUGGAUGGGCUCAUGUCCUAUCAGCUUGUUGGUGAGGUAACGGCUCACCAAGGCUUCGACGGGUAGCUGGUCUGAGAGGACGAUCAGCCACACUGGCACUGCGACACGGGCCAGACUCCUACGGGAGGCAGCAGUAAGGAAUAUUGCGCAAUGGACGAAAGUCCUGACGCAG
rnacentral:rRNA from 1 species